rnacentral:rRNA from 1 species
CCUACGGGUGGCUGCAGUGGGGAAUCUUGCGCAAUGGGCGGAAGCCUGACGCAGCAACGCCGCGUGGGGGAUGACGGCCUUCGGGUUGUAAACCUCUUUCGCGAUCGACGAAGGCCCACUUUCUGUGGGUUGACGGUAGGUCGAGAAGAAGCACCGGCCAACUACGUGCCAGCAGCCGCGGUAAUACGUAGGGUGCGAGCGUUGUCCGGAAUUAUUGGGCGUAAAGAGCUCGUAGGCGGUGUGUCGCGUCGGCCGUGAAAACCUGGGGCUUAACU